rnacentral:rRNA from 1 species
CACGUAGGGUGCGAGCGUUGUCCGGAAUUAUUGGGCGUAAAGAGCUCGUAGGCGGUGUGUCGCGUCGGCCGUGAAAACCUGCAGCUUAACUGUGGGCUUGCGGUCGAUACGGGCAUCACUGGAGUUCGGCAGGGGAGACUGGAAUUCCUGGUGUAGCGGUGAAAUGCGCAGAUAUCAGGAGGAACACCGGUGGCGAAGGCGGCCAACUGGAC